AUGCCUUAUGUGUUUGUUUUUCGGCAAGGCAUUUCCAGCAGUUAUGGAGUUAAUGAGAGUCUGCUAUGAUUGACGUAUCACAGGACCAAUGGGGUCAAGUUUGUUUUGACCGGGACUUUCUUUCCUGUUCCUGUGGAAUGCAGAGGAGUUUCCUGAGUAGAGCGGAGAACAGCGUUGAGCAAUGUGCUGUGUGUGCAUGAGUUGCUUCGGGAAGCACUCAUGGAGGAAGGACUGAUUUGCUCUGUUUGUAUAUAGAAAUGUAAAUAAAAGAUUGAUUGCCGUUGGAUUUCCAACCGAACCCUCAUCUGCUGGAGUGUGUUUGCCCAGUGCUGUUUUUUUCCACACAGGAGACAGUCUGGAGGAGGUGAAGACCGGGAUGGUGAAUUUUUGGAUUUCACUCUGCUACCCAUCAUCCCCGCUGACACUGGGUUAUGGGCCCAGGCCUCCAUGCUUCCCGCUGCGCAGUAGAUGGAGAUGCUGAUGGCUGGUGAGCUUUCAGCAACUGUGUGGCCGUGAGAGGGAUUCCAGAGAUGGAGGGGACCCGAAAGAGAGCUCCAGUGAAGCUGCAGGAGAAGAUUGUGACCGCCUGAGUCUGCACUUGAGUAAGUGGCAGUACGGCUUAAUCUCGGGGACCGAGGGUCACGGAGGCAGCUGAUUCACCGGGAGCUUGGGGUGUUGUUGAAUCUUGAUGGCAGAGAUGGCUGGAAAAAGCUUCAUUUCCAGCAUGGAAAAGCUGUCUGACGAAAAUUAUGCUUCGUGGUCAGAAAUGAUGCGGUCGUUGCUCGCAGCAGAGAACUUGGAGAAUACCCUCGAUGGUUCAGACCAAAAUGCUGAACACAGGAGGAAAGCCAAAGCAUAUUUGAUACUGUGCCUGCAACCAAACCAACUGGUCCAUGUGAGAAAUAAGGACACUCCUGAGGAGAUAUGGCAAGCUUUGAGAGAUGUCCAACAGAGGGAGACUUGCAUGUCUCAGAUGAUUUGGACUAAGAGGCUGUAUUCAGCAAAGCUUGUUCAGGGCCAGGAUGUCAGAAUGCAUUUGGACAAUCUAAAGCAAUUAUUGAUUGGAGCUGAGGAAAGAGGCCUACAAUAUUCAGAAGCACAGAAGUGUUAUCUGGUGCUGUGCAGCUUGUCUGAGGACUGGGACUUUCUGGUACAUUCUUUUCAGAAUGUGAGAGUCCAGGACUUAACUUUGGAUUCAGUUUGUGGGAGAAUCCAAGAAGAAGUGGACCGGAGGGCAUUUGAACGAGCCCAGAAGCAGACGAAGGCGCAGUGCGACCAGGAGGGGGCGCAAGUGGUCGGCUUUGGUCCAGAUGGUGUUCCUGGGAAUCGUGAGGAGGUUGCAGUACAUCAGGUCAAAACACGGCGUUGUUUUGUCUGCAACAAGCCGGGGCAUUUUGCCAGGAGUUGCCCAAACAACAAGGCAAGAAGUUCUCGUGGGAACAGAGGGGCGAGAAAUUUGUCAACAACUAAGCCCCAGGUGUUUAUGGCUGCGGUGAAUGGAAGGAUCACUGAAAAGAACAAGUGGUAUUUGGACUCAGGUUGUACACACCAUGUUGUUACAAAUCUUAAACGUUUGAAAAACAGAAGGGAUGUGUCUGGAACAGCAGUGACUUUGGCUGAUGGAACUGACAGGAAGUUCAACAAAUGUAGCACUGUGUUCAUCCCUUGCUUGAAUGUGGAUUGGGAAAAUGUACUUUACAUCCCAGAAUUAAGUUCUAAUUUGUUAAGUGUGGCUACCUUAACAGAGAACGGAUAUAGAGUAAUUUUUAGCGGAAUCUAUUGCUAUAUUCAGAGAGAUGGACGAGUAGUGGCAAAAUGUGUAAAAAGAAACAAAAUCAUCAUCAUCAUCAUCAUUUAAGUACUUAUUAAUCGCCCUCCAUCCACGAUGCUCUAGGCGAUUUACAAGAUAAAAUUGUAAAGGAUAAAAAUACAUACAUACAAAUAUUGAUUAAAAAAUAUUAAAAUAGAUUAAAAGCUCUAGUAAAGAGUCAUGUCUUGAGUGCUAGGGUAAAAGGCCCCAACUCACGCAUGGCUCUCAUAUAGGGCGGCAAGGCAUUCCAUAAGGCAGGGGCAGAAACAGAAAAAGCUCUGCGCCUGUUCCUCUCCAAGUGCACUUCUCUAGGACCCGGUACAUAGAGUAAAUGUAUAUGAUAUGAAAAUGUAUAUGAUGUUUGACAAAAAUAACUUUCCAGAUGGGGCACAAGUCCAUUGUGUGAAACAGAAGAUAAUGCAUGACAGGUGUAUCCAUCAUCUUCACGGAGCGAUGGGUCAUGCACAUGUAGAGGUGCUCAGAAAGAUUUUAGAAAUAUGCACAGAUUUUGAUUGUGAGAAAUGUGAAAAUUUAUUAGACUGUGCAGUUUGUUCAGAAAUGGGAAUUAAAUCAAAUGAGCACCCUAAAAGAUCUGGAAUUAAGGCCAAGGAAAUGUUUGAAAUAGUCCAUCUGCAUGUGACAGAAUCUGAUGUAAAAAGCCAGGGAGGUUCUCAAUUUACUUUGCUGUUAGUAGAUAGACACACGAGAUUUGGUUAAGGGGAAGUACAGACUCCCCAGAAGAGUCAGAAGAGAGGGGGUAAAUGGAAAAAAUCACCUAAGCUUGAGAGUGAAGAGCAGGUGACAGGUAAGAGUGAAGAUAUAUCUCUUCUUGAGACCGAGAUUGAAUCAGAUGAUCAGUGGUCUCCAACAUGUCAAUUGGCACAUGUGUUGCCAAAGCGCCAGAGAUGCAAAAACAUUGUGCCUGUUUAUUAGUCUGAACGGAAAUUGAAAUAUGUAUAUAUGUUCAGAGAGAGUUAAAUCAGUUUUGUGAAUAAUUGUGAUGGAAAAGUAUGAUUAUGAAAUGAAUUGGUUUUAAGAAAUUGGAUUUUAAGAGAAAUUGAAAUCCAUGGUUAAGCCAGCAUUGAGUUGAAAUAUAGCCUGGCAGCAUCAAAUGAAUCUAUGUGGCACAAUGAAUUAAGUUUUCAGAGGUUGGGGAAACUAUUGAUUAAUGAAGUGAAGCAUCAGUGUAUUGGGUUAUGGUUCUAGCAUCGAUUGUGUUAAUAAAGAUGCAAGAAAAGUGUUGAUGUAUUGUGAUCAAAGCAAUUUUACAUGUGAUUGAAAAGGACUGUAUGUAUACAUGUAUUGAUCCUGUGGAAGUUCAAGAGAGAUUGAUCAAAUGUGUAGAGUGUUAAAGUAUGUAGAGAAUUGAUUUGAACAUUUCGGAGGGGAAUUGUCAGGGUAUUGUGAAAUGUUAAAAUCAAUCUGGGUUAUUUGAAAUGCCUUAUGUGUUUGUUUUUCGGCAAGGCAUUUCCAGCAGUUAUGGAGUUAAUGAGAGUCUGCUAUGAUUGACGUAUCACAGGACCAAUGGGGUCAAGUUUGUUUUGACCGGGACUUUCUUUCCUGUUCCUGUGGAAUGCAGAGGAGUUUCCUGAGUAGAGCGGAGAACAGCGUUGAGCAAUGUGCUGUGUGUGCAUGAGUUGCUUCGGGAAGCACUCAUGGAGGAGGGACUGAUUUGCUCUGUUUGUAUAUAGAAAUGUAAAUAAAAGAUUGAUUGCCGUUGGAUUUCCAACCGAACCCUCAUCUGCUGGAGUGUGUUUGCCCAGUGCUGUUUUUUUCCACACGGGAGACAGUCUGGAGGAGGUGAAGACCGGGAUGGUGAAUUUUUGGAUUUCACUCUGCUACCCAUCAUCCCCGCUAACAUCUUUUGGGUUGCUAGGUCAGCAACGAGCAGGGGCUAUUUUAUUUUAUUAGUGGGUGAGUGAAUGGAUAGAUGAGUGGAUGGAUAGAUAGAGUGGGUGUCUCCUUGUUUCCUUUAUUUCUAUGUUAUUACCUUUCUCUGCUCCGAUCCUGAGCUCACUGAUAAGAACACACUGGUCAGAAAGGAGGGUAAAUAUAACCGGAUCAAUGGUCUUUCUCUCCCUUUUGCUCUUGGCCUUCCGGGCAGAGAAGGAGGGCUCUUGUCCUUGGCAUUCCUUUGCUUCCCUCCCCUCCCUGCUUCCUUCGUUCUAUCCAUCCCAGUCUUUCCUGCCUGCAGAGCCAUGGAACUGAGUCAGUGGGUUGGAUGGUGGGGAAAGCGAGAAGGAAGAGGCCUCUAAUUGAAAUGCAUGGACUCCAUGCCACGGGGUGCUGGAAUUUGUAGUUUGCAUCCAGUCCAACCCCUUUCUUUCUUUUUGUCAUGGAGGAAGACCCCACACAAACCACUCAGACAGAUGGCCAUCCAGUUUAGUUGUGCUAUUAUAGUCACAAUGUGUUGUUGUGAGUUUUGUGGGUCCGGAUUAUGGUUUUGUGGUGUGGUUGUGUUGUUACAACCGGGAGUCAAGGCUUUUAAGUUGUGUUGUCAAGUUUUGUAUUUCUGGAACAAAUUAAGCAAAUACCUAAAGGAAAAAAGAAAUAUGGAAAUAUAGAGGGAGAUAUUGUUUAAGAGCAGAGACCCUUGGGUUCUAAGAACAUUGUUUUGGGAAAGAACUGGGAAACUAAGAAUCAAAUUGCAGAGCAGGGGAACUGGAAGGUAAUACAGAGAGGAGGGAGGGUUGAGGGGGAAUAUGUGGUUGUUGGGUUUUUUCUUUUUCUCCUUUGUUAUGUUUUUGUUUAUGUAGUCACAUAUGGCUCUCUCUUUUUAUUGCAUCACUAAAAUUAUAAAUAAAACGUAUAAAAAAGUUUUGUAUUUGCAUUUAGUUGUGUGCCAAGUUUCAUAUUUCUGGGGCGUUUAGUUGUGUUGUUAUAGUCACGAGGCGUUGUUGUGAGUUUUGUGGGUCUGGAUUGUGGUUUUGUGGUGUGGUUGUGUUGUUACAACCAAAAGGCAAGGCUUUUGCAUUGUGUUGUCAAGUUUUGUAUUUCUGGGGCAUUUAGUUGUGUUAUAGUCACGAUGCGUUGUUGUGAGUUUUGUGGGUCCGGAUUGUGGUUUUGUGGUGUGGUUGUGUUGUUACAGCCGGGAGGCAAGGAUUUUGCAUUGUGUUGUCAAGUUUUGUAUUUCUGGGGCAUUUAGUUGUGUGCCAAGUUUCAUAUUUCUGGGGCAUUUAGUUGUGUUGUUAUAGUCAUGAUGUGUUGUUGUGAGUUUUGUGGGUCCGGAUUGUGGUUUUGUGGUGUGGUUAUGUUGUUACAACCGGGAGGAAAGGCUUUUGCAUUGUGUUGCCAAGUUUCGUAUUUCUAGGACGUUUAGUUUUGUUGUUAUAGUCACUGUGCAAACAACUUUAUACUUUUCUAUAUAUAGAUAUAUAUGGUUAUAUAUAUAUGGAUGAUGAUGAUGAUGAUGAUGAAAUAAUAAUAUCAUCAAGGAAAAGGGGCUAAAGGAACACAAGAUAAUAAUAAUAAUAAUAAUAAUAAUAAUAAUAAUAAUAAUAAUAAUAAUAAUAAUAAUAAUGGAAACUGAAAUCCAGUCUCUGAACAACACUGUCUGAAUUUUUAGCACUGAUAUCAGCAUGGAGUUUGGUUUGGACAAAUGUUCGACAGUGGCAUUGAAGAAGGGAAAAAUCACUGAAAGUGAGGGCAUAAAUAUGCCUAAUGGCCAAACAAUAAAGUGUCACCAGCCAGAGGCCUAUAAAUAUCUGGGCAUAUUACAGCUGGACAACAUCAAGCAUGAACAUGUGAAGACUGUGGUCAGUAAAAUAAAAUAAAUAAAUAAAAAGCCCCGACUUGCUGUUGACCUAGCAGCCCCGAAAGACAGUUGCAUCUGUCAAGUAGGGAAAAUUUAGGGACGCUUUAUGCGGGAGGCUAAUUUAACUAAUCUACAACACCAUAAAACUGCUCACGAGGAAAAGAAGAGGAAGAACAGCCACCAAUGGUCGGUGAAGCAACAGCUCCCCCUGUGGCCGGAAUCGUGAAGCUGGAAAGAUGUUAAAAAAAUCCCUCUGUGUCUGUCUAAAACUGAAUGUUGUUUGUCUGUUGGCAUUGAAUGUUUGCCAUAUAUGUGUUCAUUGUAAUCCGCCCUGAGUCCCCUUCGGGGUGAGAAGGGCAGAAUAUAAAUACUGUAAAUAAAUAAAUAAAUAAAUAAAUAAAUAAAGAAUACACACAAAGGGUCAGAAAAAUUCUCAAAAGCAAGCUCAAUGGAGGCAACACCAUCAAGGCCAUAAACACCUGGGCCAUACCUGUCAUAAGAUAUACUGCUUGCAUUAGAAAUUGGACACAGGCGGAACUGGACAAUUUGGACAGAAAAACAAGUAAACUCAUGACCAUUCAUCAUUCACUGCACCCUCUCAGUGAUGUUGACCGCCUAGAAGAUCAGGGGGCAGAGGACUCUUACAAGUAAAACAAACAGUCAAAGAAGAAGAACAUGCCCUGGCAGAUUAUAUAAAGCAAAGUGAAGAACUCCUCAAAGCGCAGCAGACAAAAAACCAGUACAAGAAAACCGCACUACAAACUAGAGCUGACAGCUGGCACAACAAAACAUUGCAUGAAAAGUUCCUUGACAAAAUUGAAGGAAAAGCUGAUAAGGAGAAGACCUGGCUCUGGCUCACAAAUGAGACACUGAAAAAGGAGACAGAAGGCCUGAUCCUUGCAGCCCAGGAGCAAGCCAUUAGAACAAAUGCAAUUAAGGCUAAGAUCGAAAAAUCAGCUGAUGGCCCAAAAUGCAGACUCUGCAAGGAAACCGACGGAACCAUUGAUCAUAUCCUCAGCUGCUGUAAGAAAAUCACACAGACAUACUACAAACAGAGGCACAACUAUGUGGCCCAAAUGAUUCAUUGGAACUUAUAGCUCAAGUACCACCUCCCUGCAGUAAAGAACUGGUGGGAUCACAAACCUGCAAAGGUUGUGGAAAAUGAACAAGCAAAAAUACUGUGGGACUUCUGAAUCGAGACUGACAAAGUUCUGGAACACAACACAUGAGACAUCACAGUUCAUAGAAUCAUAGAAUAGUAGAGUUGGAAGAGACCUCAUGGGCCAUCCACUCCAACCCCCUGCCAAGAAGCAGGAAAUCGCAUUCAAAGCACCCCCGACAGAUGGCCAUCCAGCCUCUGCUUAAAAGCCUCCAAAGAAGGAGCCUCCACCACAGUCCGGGGCAGAGAGUUCCACUGCCGAACAGCCCUCACAGUGAGGAAGUUCUUCCUGAUGUUUAGGUGGAAUCUCCUUUCCUGUAGUUUGAAGCCAUUGUUCCAUGUCCUAGUUUGCAGGGCAGCAGAAAACAAGCUUGCUCCCUCCUCCCUAUGACUUCCCCUCACAUAUUUGUACAUGGCUAUCAUGUCUCCUCUUAGCCUUCUCUUCUGCAGGCUAAACAUGCCCAGUUCUUUAAGCCUCUCCUCAUAGGGCUUGUUCUCCAGACCUUUGAUCAUUUUAGUUGCCCUCCUCUGGACGCUUUCCAGCUUGUCAACAUCUCCCUUCAACUGCGGUGCCCAGAAUUGGACACAGUAUUCCAGGUGUAGUCUGACCAAGGCAGAAUAGAGGGGGAGCAUGACUUCCCUGGAUCUAGAUGCUAUACCCCUAUUGAUGCAGGCCAAAAUCCCAUUGGCUUUCUUAGCAGCCGCAUCACAUUGCUGGCUCAUGUUUAACUUGUUGUCCACAAGGACUCCAAGAUCUUUUUCACAUGUACUGCUGUCUAGCCAGGCGUCCCCCAUUCUGUAUCUUUGCAUUCCAUUUUUUUCUGCCAAAGUGAAGUAUCUUGCAUUUGUCCCUGUUGAACUUCAUUUUGUUAGUUUCGGCCCAUCUUUCUAGUCUGUCAAGAUCGUUUUGAAUUCUGCUCCUGUCUUCUGGAGUGUUAGCUAUCCCUCCCAGUUUGGUGUCAUCUGCAAACUUGAUGAUCGUGCCUUCUAACCCUUCGUCUAAGUCGUUAAAAUAAAGAUGUUGAACAGAACCGGGCCCAGGACGGAGCCCUGCGGCACUCCACUGGUGACUUCUUUCCAAGAUGAAGACGACACAUUGGUGAGCACCCUUUGGGUUCGUUUGCUUAGCCAAUUAGAGAUCUACCUAACCGUAGUUUUGUCUUGCCCACCUUUUACUAGUUUAUUUGCCAGAAGGUCGUGGGGGACUUUGUCGAAGGCCUUACUGAAAUCUAGGUACGCUACAUCCACGGCAUUCCCUGUAUCGACCCAACUCGUAACUCUAUCAAAAAAAGAGAUCAGAUUAGUCUGGCAUGACUUGUUUUUGGUAAAUCCGUGUUGACUAUUAGCAAUGACUGCAUUUGUUUCUAAGUGUUUGCAGAUCACUUCCUUAAUGAUCUUUUCCAGAAUCUUGCCUGGUAUCGAAGUGAGGCUGACCGGAUGGUAAUGGUUUGGGUUGUUCUUUUUUCCCUUCUUGAAGAUAGGGACCACAUUUGCCCUCCUCCAAUCUUCCAGGACUUCUCCUGUUCUCCAAGAACUCUCGAAGAUAAUUGUCAGUGGUUCUGAAAAAACCUCAGCUAGUUCCUUCAAUACUCUUGGAUGUAGCUGAUCUGGCCCUGGAGACUUGAAUUCGUUUAGAGUGGCCAGGUGUUCCUGGACAACUUGUCUCCGUACUUGGGGUUGGAUUUCCCCAAAUCCUUCGUCCAUUUCAUGUUGCUGAGGUUGAAGAUGGCUUUCUUUUUGUGAGAAGACCGAGGCAAAGAAGGCAUUAAGCAGGUCUGCCUUUUCCCUGUCCCCUGCCGCCAUCACCCCAUCUUCUCCUUACAGAGGCGCUAUCGCCUCCUUGUUCUUCCUUUUUCUACCAACAUAAACAAAAAAGCCUUUUUUUGUUGUUUUUAAUGUCCCUGGCAAGCCUGAGCUCAUUUUGCGAUUUAGCCUUGCGAACAUUUUCCCUACAGGAGUUGGCUAUACGUUUGAAUUCUUCUUUGGUGAUUUCUCCCCUUUUCCACUUCUUGUGCAUGUCUCUUUUGAGUCUUAGUCCGGUUAGAAGUUCUUUGGACAUCCAUUCUGGCUUCUUUGCACUUGUCAUAUUUUUUUCUUUGUUGGCACUGUUUGCAUUUGCGCCUUGAGUAUUUCACUUUUUAAAAACUCCCAUCCAUCCUUAACUCCCUUGUCUUUUAAUAUUGGCAUCCAUGGAAUGCCGCUCAGUAUUUCCUUCAUUUUUUGGAAGUCAGCUCUCUUAAAGUCCAGAAUGCGUGUUUGACUUGACUUAGUUUCAGCCUUCCUUUGUAUGGCAAACUGCAGGAGCACAUGGUCACUUGCCCCUAAGGAUCCAACGACUUCUACUGUAUUGAUCAGGUCUUCCACAUUUGUUAAGAUUAGAUCAAGAGUUGCUGAUCCCCUUGUUGCCUCUUCUACCUUCUGGACCAUAAAAUUGUCUGCAAGGCAAGUGAGGAAUUUGUUGGACUUUGUGCUCUUGGCCGAGUUUGUUUUCCAGCAGAUAUCAGGAUAGUUGAAGUCACCCAUGACUACUAUAUCUCUUCUUUGUGCCUGUUUGGUCAGCUGCUGACAGAAGGCUUCAUCAAGUUCUUCAUCCUGGUUCGGAGGUCUGUAGUAGACACCCACGACGAGAUCUUUUUGAGUCCCGGUUCCCUUGAUUCUUAUCCAGAUGCUUUCAAGCUGGUUUUCCGGAUUACAGUCUUGCAUUUCUUCUGCAACGUAACUGUUUUUGACAUAUAAAGCUACUCCCCCUCCUCUUCCCUUUGUUCUAUUUCUGUGAAAGAGGUCAUAGCCCUCAAUGGCUAAAUUCCAGUGAUGGGAGUCAUCCCACCAGGUUUCAGUGAUGCCCAUGAUGUCAUACGUGUGAUGCUGUGCUAAAUGUUGGAGUUCGUCAUGCUUAUUUCCCAUGCUCUGUGCAUUAGUGUAAAGACAUGUAAGCCCCUGUGAUCUUCCCCCGGGCUGUUUAUUUGGGAUUAUUAUGCUCUCGGUACUUGGUCCUUGCUGUUUUUGUGCAGCCCUCCGUUUAGCCUUUUGGCGGUUCCCUGUGGUCGUGGGUAAUAUAGUGUUCGCCAGGCUGUUGUUCCCCUCCCCCAGUGGAUCUAGUUUAAAGUGCGCCUGAUGAGAUUUGUGAGUCUGUGUGCAAAAAGAUGUUUUCCACUUGGCAAGUGAUGCACCCCAUCACUUACCAGUAGGCCAUCCUCCUGGAAGAGUAGACAAUGAUCAAGGAAGCCAAAAUGCUCCUCUUGACACCAUUUUCUGAGCCAGUUAUUGACCUGUACUAUUUUUCCGGCCCUUGUAAAGCCGUGUCCUACAACAGGGAGGAGGGAUGAAAAGAUCACAUGUACAUUAUACAGUUUUAGCUUUGUUCCCAGAGCUCGAAAAUCAUUUGUGAUCUUUUGAAAAGUAUGCCUAGCGGUGUCAUUGGUUCCUACAUGAAUCAACAUAAGGUGGGGAGGGUGAUGGGGCUUUAGGAGCCUGCUGAGCCUCUGAGUCAUAUGGUGUAUUUUUGCCCCCGGGAGGCAGCAUGUUUCUCAAGCCAUCCCAUCCGGUCUGGAAAUGAUGGCUUCCGUUCCUCUAAGGAGGGAGUCACCUACUACCAAGACCUGUUUCCUUUGAGGAUUGACAGGGUCCCUUUUGUGCAAGACAGUGUGUAUAUUCCCUGAAGAGUGUUCCAGUUGAAGUGAAUCAUGUAGGUAUAAAGUGUUGUCCUCCUCCUCAACAUCCCCAGUGCAUUCAUCAAUGACAAUCCAUUGAGAUGCGUCCAAGAGCCCAUCACUCUCCCAAGGGUGUUCCUGCUGUGCCUGGUCUACGAUUGGGGAUGGAGCAUUUGCAUGAUUACAUAAGUGUGAAUGUGGUGAUGCACUGUCCCCGUCAGGGCUAUCCCCUGCGCAUUGAUCAAGAGUGGCCCACUGAGUGGUAUCUAAGUAACUGUGGUCCUCCACAAGAUGUGUUUCCUGAUUGUAUAUUAGUUGUGUAAGAAUUUGGAAUCUGUUGUGUAAAUCCAGCUGAGAAGAGGAGUUCUGUGGAGGCUGCCUGGUCCUGUGUCUCUUUGUAUGGGUGACCUCCUUCCAAGCCUGAGGAUUAUCUGAGUUGAUCUCCCCGUAAAGUUCCUGAUCAUGGUGGUGUUGGUGUGAUGCAGGUUGCAGAUCUACAGCAGCGUAUUGUGCAGUGUCCAAGAAGAGCUCAAGUGCCUGAAUGUCCUUAAGGGUCUUAAUGUGGGCCUCGAGUUUUUGGAGCCUCUUUUCCAUCUGAGUCAGCUGUUUACACUUGGUGCAGGUGUAGUUGAGUAGUUGUUGUGCAAAGAAGGUGAACAUGUCGCAACUUGUGCAUGUGGUGGCAAGUACUUGCUGUUGAUCCAUCUCUUGGUGAGUGAAGUGACCUAGCAGGAUCAUGUGUGUUAUGGGCAGAAUGCUAUCCACCUUCCUGUGUGUGUGUGUUUUAAUGUUGUUUUGUUUAUUGUAUAUACUGUAAGAACGUGUUUUAGUGUAGGGGUGGGUUCGCGAGCGCUGUCAGGUGCAAGCGACACUGGCUUAGAAAGCUUCAACAGGAAGCCAACACUUUCAAUAACAAUAGCCUUGCCUCACCUUCCAAACACUAGCAGAGCAGCAAGCCUUUAUUACAGCUAGCCCACACUCAUGAAUCAGCACAGACUCAGGUUUUUAAAGGUAAAGAGUCCAACAGACACAGGUUUUUUUUAAGGCUAUCUAAGAAAGGAGUAGGCAAUCUAAGAAAAGAGUGCACACUGUCAGGUUUUUAAGGAAAUCUUAGAUAGGCCUUACCUAAACCAAGGAGCAAGCUUCCUUCUUGCUUCCUCUCCUCACCUCUUUGUGGAAAAGAAAAAGGUUUGGAUCAUUGAUGUUGCCAUCCCAGGUGACAGUCGCAUUGACGAGAAACAACAGGAAAAACUCGGCCACUAUCAGGCCCUCAAGAUUGAACUUCAAAGACUCUGGCAGAAACCAGUGCAGGUGGUCCCGGUGGUGAGGGGAACACUGGGUGCUGUGCCAAAAGACCUCAGCCAACAUUUGGAAACAAUAGACACUGACAAAAUUACGAUCUGUCAGCUGCAAAAAGCCACCCUAUUGGGAUCUGUGCGCAUCAUCUGAAAAUACAUCACACAGUCCUAGACAUUUGGGAAGUGUUCGAUUUGUGAUUUUGUGAUACAAAAUCCAGCAUGUCUAUCUUGUUUGCUGUGAUAUGAUAAUAUCAGCACUGCCAAUUGUUUUCCCCACACUAGGUGGCACCCUUCUUGGCUUGUGCAACCAGGGGGCCAGGGCUCAACUCCAGCUAAUGUCCUCCACCAGCCGCAAGCCCAGAAAGCCAGAGCAGCACAUAGAAUUGUAGACUUGGAAGAGACCUCAUGGGUCAACCAGUCCAACCCCCUGCCAGGAAGCAGGAAAUGAUAAUGCAGGUCUACUCAUUCGACAGCAUGCCACCGAGAAAGAAUGUGGGGGGCACCAAGGCCAAGGGUCCAGCGAAACAGAAGCAGCCCAAAAGGUCACCCUGUCCUACUGUUCCAGAGAAUGGAUCACUGGAUGCUGCAGCAGUGCCACCCACACCAGUGGCUACCAAUCAGGCAGUCACUGUUGUGCCAACAGAAACCCUCAAUGCCAUGUGGGCAACACUGCAAGUCUUGGAGCAGGAGAGAAGGGCGCCACCCCCUAACCUGGAUAGUGAACAAGCUUUUAACACUUUGAUAUCCCAUGUCUCUGCUCUAGAGAACAAGCGCAGUGCUCCUGGCACAGGUGACGGAGGCCAGCCUAACAUCCAGCCAGCUGACCCAGUACCAUCUGCUGAGCCGACGGCAGUAACCCAACCUGAAAUGACGGCACAGACGCAGAACACCAGGAGCAGUGGUGGAAGCUCACGUAAUGAUGACACACCUACAUGGCCAUGGGACCAGCAAGGGUCACAGGAGAGCUCCCAAGUACAAAAUCAGUUAGAAGAGCUCCCGGCCUCGCUGACUCCUAUGCCCACACACAGUCAGGCACAGGGGUCAAGGCAACCUAAUUCAAGUGGUAGCACAGGUACUUCUGGGUCAUCAGCCAUCAAUGAUAAGCAAAACCAGUAUUGGGGAACGGAGAAGUGGCCAGUGGCCCUGCCUCCUAUGCGGGCGGUGCGCUUGGGUUCACACCUCAACCAGAGGUCAAUAAAUAAGAUGUUGAGGAACAAAUACGUUGAUAUUUUUUCCCUCCACUUUAAAGACAUGGACAAGAAGGAAAAAGAUGAGCUAGAUGAGGAAUAUAAUGAGAGGAUGAAGAAGCGGAAAGUAGACAAUACAUGGGAUAACUGGUUAGCUUGUUACAUGAUAUACGCUGGGGUUAUUGUCAGAAAGUACCCCGCUAGUGGGCCUUUUUCAAUACCUGUUUCAAUACCAGAACAUCAUAUAUUCUGCCCACGUUAACUUUACGGGCAACGGAUGGCUGGAGUACGAUCAGCGUUUUAGAUCAGAUGCAGCUACCGACCCCACAAUGUGUUGGGAAGUUAUUGACAACCAUCUUUGGAUGGAAGUCAUGAGUAAUGCCAAGGCACUGCCUGGAGUAAAAGCAGACUGUGGGCACACAAUUCAGUGUGCUAAAGGAGGGCAGUUUUUUCAUCAGGGAGCAUGUACAUCACACCAGCAGUGUGUGCCAUGCUGGGAGUAUGCCUCACACGGGGCUUGUUCUCACAAGGGCUGUAGAUUUCAGCACAGCUGUACCAUCUGUAAUGGAGCCCAUUCCACAAAAACUGUGGGAGAAUUAGACCAUUUUGCCCAGCCCAGACAGACAACCAGUUUCAGAGGAAGGGAGCGACCUCCGCUGCCCUUCCCAAAGGGACUCAGCACAAUUAAUGUUCCAAAAUUGGACCAGUGGCUGAGGACUUAUCCAAACACCUUGGCAGCUAAAUAUCUUCUUGAUGGUUUUAAAAGUGGUUUUUGGAUUCCAACACAUGAUCCUAGGAUCUCUUUCCAGCCCGAAAACUAAAAGUCCAUACUAGGAAUGGAGGUAAUAGUCAGACAAAAAAUUGAGAAGGAGGUUAAGGAAGGUAGGUUUUUAGGCCCCUUUCCUUCACCUCCGUCCCCCAACCUGAGAGUGUCACCACUCAAGAAGGUCCCGGGAGAAUAUCGGCUCAUUCACAACCUGUCAUACCCCAAGGGCACGUCGGUGAAUGAUGCCAUAUCUCUGGAUGAUUGCACAGUACACUACACAUCAUUUGACACCGCAGUGGGCUUAAUACGAUCCAAGGGCAUGGCAGCGAAGUUGGUAAAAUGCGACAUCAAAUCAGCUUUCUGUCUCCUCCCCGUACACCCAUUGGACCUGACAUUCUUAGAAUUAAAUCAGUUUUCCGUCUCCUCCCCGUACACCCAUUAGACCUGACAUUCUUAAAAAAAAUUCCCAUUCUGGUGACCGUCAGCCUAUGGGGAGAGCAAUUCGCAAACUCCACAGUGCACUUUUGGUGCGAUAGUGCAGCCACAGUGCAGGUCAUUAAUUCCCUUACAUCCAGAUCAGUCAGGGUUAUGGGGUGGUACGACACUUCACCCUGCUUUGCUUAAAGCAUAACAUACUGUUCAAAGCCUUUUACAUUGUGGGUUCAGAGGAUGUACUAGCUGAUGCACUGUCCCGCUCACAGAUGGAAUGCUUCAGGCAGCUCGCCCCCAACGAAGACAUGAGAGUGAUGCCAAUGCUGAAGCAUCUGUGGAAAAUUGGAGUGAGGAAUUAGUUCAUUUCAUUGGCAAAUCCUUGGCUCCUAGUUUCAGAAAGGCGUACAUCAGGACAGUGCAAGAAUUUCAUGAAUUCAGACAGCAAUACAGAAGGAAGGGGUCACCAAAUGUCCCCUUUGAAUAUGUGGCCCAGUUUGCUAUCGUCCUCAGGAGAGAAAGCCUGGCGCCGAAGACGAUCAGAGCUAAGCUAUCAGCAAUGGCUUUCUGGGUCAAGGCGCAAGGCCAACAGGACAUCACCAUGGAAUUUGGGAUUUGCAAGUGGCUCAAGAGAUGGUCACAUGAGUAUGGCAGGCCCUGCGACCAGUGGGAACCCCUCACACCGGAAAUAUUGAAAGGGCUUCGACAAACGUGGCCUUCAGUCUGGACAUCCAGCUCUUCCAUGCAGCUGCCCUGGUGGUGUUCUUUGCGACACUCAGGUUCAGCGAAUUGGUUGUAGCAUCCAAAACUGACCAAUCUCAGAGAGCACUGCUUAUCUCAGACCUCAGUCUGAGUGGUGAUACAGCGGACCUGUUCAUUAGAGUGUCUAAGACCGACCAGAGAGCUAGGAGGACAUGCAUAUAGUUAAAGAAAUGCAGUGAGCCUCAGUUGUGCCCUGUGCAGGCCCUGACCAACUAAGGAGACCACAGUGGGCCCUUUGCUUUGUCACCAGGAUGGCAUCCCUUUAAGUUUCAAUUCUGGACCAUCACUGCCAAGGCGCUGCAGAAACUGGGCAUGCAGGGACAUAAGUUCGGGACACAUUCGUUCCGCAUUGGGGUGGCAUCUACCGCAGCCGCCAUGGGAUAUGGGGUGGAAAGAAUAAGAACAAAUGGAAGAUGGCGGUUCGAAGCCUAUCGGUCCUACAUUCGCCCAGUGCAGUUGUUAUGACUCUUGUUUUUUUUGCAGAUGGAGUGUCGAUGACAUAUAGAUGAAGGGUCCUGACCUGUGGACACAGCUACAUUUAUUGGGCCAAGGAACACGCUCAGAGAUCCACCUAUGGCCAGCACCUAGGCCUUGCGUCUAUUGCCACUGUCGAGUGGAAGGGCAGCCGAGGACUUUGUUGGGAUGGACUGCUCCCCCUGUUGUCCAAUUCCAGGAACGCAGAAGCACCCGAUGCAGAUGGCAUUCCCACGCAGGGCUUCCCUCCUGACGUGUUGGUGGUCCACCUGGGGGGAAAUGACUUGGGCCUGCUCAAAGGCAAGGCAUUAUUCCUGUAAGCUGUGGCUGAUUUCUGCAAGAUUAAAGAGGAGUGGCCUCACACUCACAUCGUAUGGUCAGAGGUAAUCCCACGGCUGAGGUGGCCAGGAGGCGGCGAUGCAUGGAGAAUAGACAGUGCUCGUAAAAGAGUGAACCGGGCUAUCUAGAGAAUCUGUAAGGGGGGUAUGGGCUCAUACCUACAGCAUGAUAUAUUGUAUGCCAAAUGAGAGUAUUACCGACCUGAUGGAAUUCACAUGUCUGACCUGGGCAAUGACCACUUCCUGGCCUGCCUACAGGCGGGUAUUCGUGCAGCUAUCGAGAGCUUGGUGGGGGAUAGGGACAAAGUAGACGCCUGCCCUUAUCUGUGGCGUAAACAGUAAAGAUGUUGAAUGCGAAGCACAGACUUGGUGCCCACUUUGAGAGGCCAGGAAAUAUAAAAUGUCCAAAUGAUGUAAAUAAAUAAGGGGCCGGUCGAAACAGGGGGCCCAGAUAUUGGGAAGCAGAAAUUGAUUAUUAGAAAUCAUCCUCAUCAAGUUUAUUACCAAGUUAAUACUGGAGCCAGGUUAGAUUACCAUAUUUUAAUUAUAAUUCUUAGAAUCAUAGAAUAGUAGAGUUGGAAGAGACCUCAUGGGCCAUCCAGUCCAACCCCCUGCUAAGAAGCAGGAAAUCUCAUUCAAAGCACCCCCGACAGAUGGCCAUCCAGCCUCUGCUUAAAAGCCUCCAAAGAAGGAGCCUCCACCACAGUCUGGGGGAGAACAGCUCUCACAGUGAGGAAGUUCUUCCUGAUGUUCAGGUGGAAUCUCCUUUCCUGUAGUUUGAAGCCAUUGUUCCGCGUCCUAGUCUGCAGGGCAGCAGAAAACAAGCUUGCUCCCUCCUCCCUAUGACUUCCCCUCACAUAUUUGUACAUGGCUAUCAUGUCUCCUCUCAGCCUUCUCUUCUGCAGGCUAAACAUGCCCAGCUCUUCCUGUGAUUUCAAUUUUAUUUCCCUUCCUUCUUUUUCUAGUAUAUCUCUAUACGUAGGCCAUGUGUUCCAUCCCAGUUCUCUUCUCUGGCAUGCCUCCAUAGAAGACACCCAGAGGGGGGGGGGGUUAUUAUAGAUUCUCUGUUUAUAUUUAUUCCAGAUCUUGAGUAAGGCCGAACGGAUAAAAUGGUUGCCGAAAUUUUUUCGAUUGGUGCUUUGUUGUACCACAGGUACACAUGCCAACUGACUCGCAAAUCAUGUCCUUCCAGGGUCAACAUUUUCUUAUUGCUAAAAUUAAUCCAAUCCCUUACCCAAUCUAAUCCGCAGGCUUCCAAGUAAAGGGCAAGGUUCGGUAAACCUAAACCCCCUCUAUUUUUGACAUCUGUCAAAUUUGUAUAAUUUAUUCUUGGUUUCUUAUUAUUCCAGAUAAAUUUUGAUAUAUCUUUAUUCCAUUCUUUAAAUAACUUCUGGUUCCUAAUUACUGGAAGGUUUUGGAAAAGAUAUAUCAUUUUUGGUAAUACAUUUGUUUUAAUAACCGCUAUUCUACCCAAUAAGGAUAAUUUUAAUGAAGAACAAUUCUUGAGAUUGUUUUUAAUUUCUUUCCAUUUAUUGAUAUAGUUGUUUUGGAGUAACUGUGAAUUCUUUGUUGUUAGAUAUAUUCCUAGAUAUUUUAUUUUGGUUGACGUUUUCAUACCUGUGAUAUCACUUAUCUGGGAUUGUCUUUCUUUUGAUACAUUUUUUGUUAAUAUCAUGGAUUUAUCUUUAUUUAUUCUGAAACCUGAUAUUUUGCCGAAGUCCUCUAUUUCCCGUAGCCACUUUUUGAUAUUACUUAAUGGAUCCUCUAUAAUGCACACUAAGUCAUCCACAAAGGCAUGGAGUUUGUAUGUCUCUUUGCCUAUUUUUAAGCCUUUAAAAUUGUCGUCAUCUCUCAAAUUAUUAAGGAGUAAUUCCAAUGACAUUACAAAUAUUAGCGGGGAUAGGGGACAUCCUUGCCUAGUCCCCUUCUCCACCCUAAUUUUGUUAGAUGAUUGAUCAUUUACCCAGAUAUUUGCCGUCUGAUCUUCGUAUAUAGCUUGUAUCACAUUCAUAAAAUUAUUCCCUAUAUCCAUUUCUCUCAUUAACAUUUUAAAUAAAUCCCAUUUUAUACGGUGAAAUGCCUUUUCCGCAUCAACCGUCAUUAUGGCUACUUCUUUUUGAUUAUGUUUUUCAUAGUAUUCAAUUAUAUUUACUAAGCUUUGUACGUUGUUUUUAAUACUCCUAUCUGGUAAAAAUCCCGAUUGUUCUUCUUUUAUCCAAUUUGUUAACUUGUUUUUAAGGCUGUUUCUGGUGAAAAACUGGACAGAUCUCCCCAGAGGGACUCGGGGUGGCUUCCAUGGGGACCAAGUCCAGUAUAGACAAGAAUUACAAAACUACACAAUUAAAAAGCAUAUAACAAAUAAACAAUAUAAUUAAAAUGAUUAAAACCAGAAAAGUAAAAACAACAUAAAAAUACAGCAAUUGACAUCCCUGCCAAAUAAAAUCAAUAAACCAAAUAUAAUCCAAAUAUAAUAAACCAAAUAUAAUCAAAUAAAACAGUCAUGAUUUCAUGGGCUAAAGACUUAGGGGAAAAUACUGAUUUGAAAAAAGGGGAUUUUUAUGGAAGAGAAGUUUUAAAUUUUUGAUAACUGGAUCCAUAAGAGAAAAUAUGUACAAAAUGUUCAAUAGAAGUUAUAUAACUCCUGAGGUGAUAGCUGAAAUAGAUAAAUCCCACUGGAGAAAAUGUUGGAGAUGUAAAGCAAAGAAAAGUACUUUCUUCCACACUUCGUCAGUACUUUCUUUUAAAAAUGUAAUAAAAGUAACAAAUAAAAUGAUUACUAUAAUGGUUAAGAAAAACCCAGAAAUGUUUCUCUUUAGUUUAUUUUGUGAAAGAAUUAAUAAAGAAGAUUUAGAAAUUUGUCAAUACAGUUUAGUUCCUGCAUGAUUAAUAAUAACAAAAUCAUGGAAGGGGAAAAAAGCUAUUUAUAAAGGACUGGAGGGGGAAAUUAUUAGACUAUAUUCAAAUGGCCAAGCACUCCAAUGAUAUUUGGGGAGGAAAUAAUGAAGAUUUUGAUAGAAAAUGGAAGCCUGCAUUUGAAUACUUAGAAAGGAAGACAAAUGUUGACUUUAAAAUUUCUGCAAGGUUCACGGGUGGGAGGAGGAGUGGGUUUGCUGAACAGAUAUAUUUGUAUUAUGUGUAUUUGAAUUUUUCUUUCUUUUGCAUUCUGUAUACAACAUUUACACAAAAAACAAAAAACAUAUCUCUGCAAAAUUCGAAGUGGUCAGGAUUGAGAUGUCUUGGUACUCAAGACAAUGUAACUGCAGUAGGGUCUCGCUUAUCUAACAAAAACGGCCCGGCAGAAUGUUGGAUAAGCGAAAAUGUUGGAUAAUAAGGAGGGAUUAAGGAAAAGCCUAUUAAACAUAAAAUUACAGUAUGAUUUUACAAAUUAAGCACCAAAACAUCAUGUUUUACAACAAAUUGACAGAAAAAGCAGUUCAAUGCAUGGUAACGUUAUGUAGUAAUUUCUGUAUUUACAAAUUUAGCACCAAAACAUAACAUUUACUACAAAAACAUUGACUACUAAAAGGCAGACUGCAUUGGAUAAUACAUAAUGUUGGAUAAGCGAGAUUCUACUGUAUUUUCAUUAUUUGUGUGUAUCUUAGAAGUAGUAAAACAUCCUUAUACAAAAAUACGAGAGUAUAAAUGUCUGUGCUAUUCGUUCCUUUUAAGAAGAGAUCAUUAGAUACACAUUUAUUAGUUGUAAAAUCAAUACAGCUCGGGGAAUCAUCCGUUCUCGUUUUCUAACUUUUGUGCAUUUAAAUUCCUAAUUGUGGUGAUGAUGGUGUUGGAUUUCUUCAGCCUUCUUUGUCUACCAGAUGUUCUUGAGUUCUCUGGUCCUUCUUUGGACCGCAGCUUUUGCACUGGCAUAGAUCUUUUUCUUAGCAGCACAGUUGGUGUCUCUCUGUCAUGUUUGGAAGGCUUUCCUUUUGUUAUCAAUUAGCUGUUGGAUCUCUUUGUCGUUAUCAUCAAACCAGUCUUGGUGUUUCUUAGUUUGGUAUCCAAUGGUUUCUUCGCAGGCUGUGAUGAUGGAGGUCUUCAGUUUGUUCCAAUGUUCCUCAACAUUUUUGGGGUGUUCUGUGGGUAGAUGAUCUUUGAGUGUUGUUUGGAGAAGGGCUCGUUUAGACGGCUCCUGAAGGGCUUGGGUGUUCAUUUUACGCCUUGUCUUUCUUCCUUGGAGUUGCGUUUGGGGAUAAUCUUGAUAGCCAUCAUGGAUUGGAUUAACCUGUGGUCUGUCCAGCAGUCAUCAGCACCUGUCAUGGCUCUUGUGAGAAGCACAUCGUGGCGGUCUCUGGCAUGUGUAAUUACAUAAUCCAAGAGGUGCCAAUGCUUUGACCAGGGGUGCUUCCAUGAUGUCUUGAGCUUGUUUUUCUGGCGGAAGAGCAUGUUGGUGAUGACAAGGUUGUGCUCUCCGCAUUUGGUGAGAAGCAAGAUGCCAUUUGAGUUGCUGUUUCCGACCCCGUCUUUUCCUAUGAUCCCUGGCCACAGGUCGGAGUCCCGUCCGACUCUUGCAUUAAAGCCCCCCGGGAGGAUGAUUUUGUCCUCCUGAGGUAUCCGAUAGGAUGAUGUCCAGCUGACAAUAAAAUUUUUCCUUGAUGUCUUUGUCAGCAUCUAGUAUUAGUGCAUAGGCACAUAUGAUGGUUGCCUGUUGGUUUUUGGCAAGGUUAAUUCGGAGGGUUGAGAGUCGUUCGUUGAUGCCAGUGGGUGCUUCAGUCAGGUGCUUCACCAGGUCAUUUCUAAUAGCAAAGCCAACUCUGUGUAUUCUUCGCUCUUCUUCAGGCAGUCCCUUCCAGAAAAAGGUGUAGCCUCCUUUUUCUUCCUUCAGCUGUCCCUCUCCUGCUCUCCAGGUCUCCUAAAGGGCUGCUAUCUUGAUGUUAAAACGUCCCAGCUCCCUUGCAAGGAUAGCAGUCCUGCGUUCGGGUUGUUCGCUGUCAGUGUUACCCAACAGUGUCCAUACGUUCCAUGUUCCAAAGUUCAUUUCUCUUUUUUGGCCGCAGAGUGGUGACCCCUCUGGACGUGGCAGUCCAGUCAGGGAUAGGAGAGGCAGACUAUGUUUAGGGCACCUUUUCUAGCCCCUUCCCCAUGUGGGGUGAGCAGAGAGGGUCCUAAAAAGGGCUGCUCAGUCAUGGAUACAGCUGCCGGACUACUCAACUGCCUCGGACCUUUAGGUAGAGCGACUGAGUCCAUAUCCUCUGCCCAUGUGCCAGUCUGUGACUAGGGGCUUCCAGAUUUCACAGUCCUGCCCCCAUUGCCACUCGCUGAUCGUCAUGGGACUUUUGUUGGUUUGUUUUUAUUUUUCUUGGAAGAAAAUGAUCAUAUAUCAUCAUACACCCAUCUUUACACUUAAUCUCCAUUUUUUAUUUGUUCUGCUACAGACCAUCCAAAAUGGAGAAAAAAGAAGGAAGGAGCAUGUAACAAGUUAUUUAUUUUAAAAUCUAGAUGUGACACUCACAUAUACACUCUAUAAUGUAUACACUAUGGUGUGUUAUGAUACCACAUGAUAAAAAUACCUUUCCAAAGAAUACAAAAGUGGUUUAUUCUGCCUAUCCAACAGAUCUUGUCAAAGAUGGCAAUGUGCCUCCUCCAAUAAUCUGUCUGUAUAGUUGUGAAAGUUUUCACUCCACCUGCAGGCUUUGAUGGGUGUUUUCACAUAUUUGAAAUUUGCUGUUAUUAAUGUUUUCACUAUUUUCUAUUGUCAACAUGAAGUGUCAGACAAAUUAAGAAUGGAAAAUGAAGAAUAGUAGCCAUUGUCAUUGGCAACAGCUAACAUAAAAGCUAUGUUGGAAAAAUCUAUUGAGGUAUGCUGUCCAGGCAACCGUGAUAAAUGAUUUAGUCCACUGCAGCAAACACAAAGUUUUAUUAUGCAGUUGCAUGAAUAUAUUGAGGUAGCUGAUAGGUCAAAACCAAAUCUUGCAAGUUAUCACUCAAUUUCCAUUGGUAUCAUUGAGUUGAGAAUUCAAGGCAAGCUGUGGAGAAUCUAAAUUUCUAUUGAAGCUGCCUUGAGUGCCAUUCUUGGAAUGGUAUCCCAUGAUAAUAGGAUUGGAUUUUUGCCAUUUUGCAAAUCAGUUUUUGGUUUUCCUACCCACAUCAGAUGUUUUCCUUUUCUUUGCUUUCUUUAGGAUUUAUACGUUUGAUUUGCCAUUGCAUGGUAGAGAUUUGUUUCCUUCCAUUGUACCUCCAAGAUUCUGAUUUUCUUAUCUUUUUUUUAAACUAUCACCCUUGAUCAUAGGAAGCAUUUUUGAAUUAACCCUGAUCUUUCCCCAAGCCUCUGCGAUGGCAAUCAUAGGAAGCAGCUUAAAAUUGGGGAAAUUGGCACUUCAGCUCCUCCCACACACAGUACCAUCAUUUUAAUUACAAGCGGGCAACAGGAAUAAGCAUCACACGAAGAAAUUGGCCAUUUUGCCCAUCUCUACGCAGGGAAUUUAAGAAUGCAUUGAUUGCCAGCCAGCAUAGAAAUAAUCGGAGAAAACAACACUUUAGAAAUAGCAAAAUAUUAUUUAUUUAUUUAUUUUACCUUAUUUCUACUCUGCUUUUCUCUAUCCCAAAGGGGACUCAAGGCGGCUUACAUAUGGCAACCAUUAGAUGCCUUAAAAUACAUACAGAGACAUAAUCAAUUACAUUUAAAAUUAAUACAUAUUAAACAUUUAAAACAUUACAUUCAAUAUUAAAAUCACAUCAUCUGAAAAUCAUAGUCCAAGGCCGUUCCGUCGUCAAUUAUGCAUAAUUCCAAGUCUAUUAUUGCACUGUACUAAUCACCAAAAAUCUGAUCCCAGAGCCAAGAUUUUACUGUCCUUCUGAAGGGAGGGGGCUGAUCUAACGUUACUAGGGAGGGUGUUCCACAGCUGAGGGGUCACCACUGAGAAGGCCCUGUCUCUCAUCCCCACCAGCCAUGCUUGUGAAGCAGGCGGGACCAAGAGCAGGGCCUCCCUGAAUGAUCUUAAUCUCCAAAGUGGCUCAUAGGGGAAGUUGUGUGCUCCCUGUAUGCCACUCCGGUGAGCAGCCUGGCUGCCACCCGUUGGACCAGCUGGAGCUUCUGAUCAGUCUUCAAAGGCAACAUGUUGCAGUAGUCUAUUUGGGGAGUAACAACAGUGUGGACCACUGUGGCUAAGUCAGGCUUCGCAAAGUACAGGCACAACUGGCACACAAGUUUUAAUUGUGCAAAAGCUCCCCUAGCCACUGCCGAGACCUGGGGUUCCAGGCUCAGCAAUGAAGCUAGGAUCACUCCCAAGUUGCGAACCUGUGUCUUCAGGGGGAGUGUAACCCCAUCCAGCACAGGUUGUAACCCUAUGCAUGUAUGUGUAAAGGAAAGUGUCAUAUUGCUCCCAGUUAAGCAUUCACAAGAGUUAGCUUUCAAAGUUUUUUUUUCUGUCUGAAGCUUUUUUGUACUCUGAAAGUUUUGCAGUUCCCCCAAGUCAGUUGACACCUCCCUAUUGUAUGUGUUGCUGCUUUUCUGGCACCUGAGCAAUGGAAAUAGAGAGGAUGAUGCCUUCUCCUCUUAACAGUCAUCUCCUAUCGUGAAUCAAUAAUUAAGCCAGUUCUGGUAUCAACAAGGCCUUUGUAAUUUCUCAUUUCUCUGAUCUUUUUUUCAAUCCAUGGUCCACAUUUUACCAAGUUUAUUUUUUGGAUAGAAAAAAUAUCUACUACAAAUUUGGAAACUUGUUUAUUUCUGACACCUGGUCCUUGAAGUAAGUUCCCGAAUUAGUGUCCUUAUGCUUUUAGAAUGUACUGUAGCUGAGCAACAAGGAAUUCAGCUUUAGUUGGCUUGUCUCAGGUCUAUUCCUCUAGGGCCUCACCUGCCCCAAUCUUUGAACCAGGAAAGGUAUCGUCUUCACAAUUGUGGCCGUUAAUGAGCCAGACUUGUACAGAACCUGAGCAGCUUGGUGAGGGCUCUGACACCUACCGGAUGGGUGUGUCAAAAGUAGAGCAUUGCCACCUGGUUGCAGUUCUGCUUGGCAGACUUUGUAUCUCUGUUUACACUUCACUCAAUUAUAAUUGGCAGUUCUGUCACCAUUUCUUCAUCAGUUCUGGAGCGUAUUGUUAUAGCUGAAUACAUAUAAUAGCUGUCACUUUUCUCUUCUCAGCAUUUAGUUCUAUUUGUUAGUUUCCUCUGCUUUUAGUAGCUUAAGUCAUGUCACUUAUAUUGCAUAUGCACUGACAGAUUUUUGACUGAUGCACAAAUUAAUUCAGAGGAGAAAGAAGUAAAAGAACAGGGGUUUGUUUUUGUCCUGACACAUUUAUUUUUAUUUUUGCGUGCUGUCUUUGACAGGCUUUAAAAUGAUGUUCACUUUUUUUAAAAAAAAAAUCUUAUUAAAAUAAAGAGCAAUUUGGUACAUCUGA